rnacentral:lncRNA from 1 species
UGUUGUCCUCUGAUGCCACGGUUUUCCCAUGACAUGGCCCAUGAUGGAGGGGAGUUGACUGGAAGCACAUCAAGUGUCCUGUGUCCUUAUCAACACUACACUACCCACCAAUCAGCACUGGGAUUUCUUCAACGUUUGUUACCGGGCUUCUUCAUGAACAAUGGUCUGAGGAGAUAUGUAAGCAAUGAUGUGGGAAGAAAUCAGUGACGAUCUCCAAGAAACAAAGCUCAUUUCCAUUUCUAUGAAUAGGACCAUUUGCGUUACCUUGAACCAGAAACAUCGUCACCGCCAGCAGCCCUCUACAAGGUAACUUUUAUCUCUACAGAGUUGCAAAAUAGGUCAAAGACAGAGAACUUAUAGACUGUCAGAGAAUCAGACAACCCGGAAGUGCCUGCAAGACAACACAAAGAAUUUUUCAAAGGACAUCCAGGAACCUUGCUACUCAUUUUUUUUUUUUAAACAUGGAGCUAAAGUAUCCAGAGUGUAUUCAUUUACUGAUUCACCAUUUUAAUACCACUAAUCUUCACAGGUAGAAACAUUCAGUGAAAAAACAUUGGCUCUCAGGCUUCUUCAAGUAUUAAGCCUUCGUGUUUUCCUGUUUUUAAACUGUACCAGCAAUACAAAAUAUACAGAGUAUUUGUUUAAUACCUUGUUUCAAAGUAUUCAUUUAUUACUUUCAAUAUUUCACACUCAGUAGUUUGUUUUGGUAUGUCUUUGCAGAACUAAUAAUGUUCCAUAAAGCAUUUCUCUUGAGGACUUCUAAUGAGUGCUAUUAACUGAACACUCUUAAUAACAUCUGCAGAUUCAUUCAACUGAAAGAAAGGCAUGUUUUUAUAGUUUCUGGAUCAGUGUUGUCCUAAGUCAUAUAGUAUGUUGACAGUAAGUGCAGUAAUGACACCUUUUCCAUCCCCUAUGCUUCAUUGGUUCAAAACCUAAUAUGUAUUGAUAACUUCAAUACAAGGUGGUAAAAGAAGUGACUCUAAAAUUGUUUGAGGCAUUGUGUAAUCUUUAGCUAUUCAUUCAACUCUCUUGCACCAGUUCCUUAUAAAUAAAGUCCUUUCCUGAUUUGGGUUAUGAAGACACAUUUAAAAAUCUAAUCCUUUUGUGUGAGAAAGAGGAAUGUUUUUUAGUAAAUUUUAGUGUCAUUAUUGCUUCAUUUAAUGAUUUUUCCAUGUAAAUAAGAUAUUAGGCUGAAGAAAAAAAGGAUUAAUAGGAUAUAAGACUCCAGAUAGAUAGAUAGAUAGAUCUCGCAGGCUUGUCCUGUGAAUCUGAGACUUUAUAACUUUAAUGAGAAAGUUACCUAUCAUAACAGAAAGAAAAUAAACCUAUUUGAAUGUAAAUUUCUUCAAGGAAGCCUAAAGUUUUACAAAUUCAGGAAACUGAAAUUUCAGAAUAUUUAUUUAAUGCUUUCUACACUCCUAAGAAUAUUUUAUUUUAAAUGUUUCAUUGAUGAAUUUAGAAAAUAAAUAUGUGGUAAGCAAAAACUCAAAAAACCACUAGUAUUUGUUCAAAAGUUCUGUGAGAUUUUGAGUUCUAAAUCUGUAUAUGCCCAUAAUUACUUCCCUUCAAUCAAUGCAAAUUAAUGUUUUCAAUUAUUAGUGACUUGAAGAAAUAAGCGAAAAUUUCCUUUCUAAAGCAAAAUUUCAAAAUAAUUAUGAAUAUUAGGCAUUCGAUUUUGACUCGUCAGCAUCAAAUGUCACUAAUAAAUAAAUAUUAGUGUUUCUAUAUAAUGUUUCUCCCCCAUCCUCGUUUAUCUUCUUCUGGAACUCCGAUGACUGUUCAUACUGUUUUCCUAUUGUCUUAGUCUGUCCAGGAUGCUACUACAAAAUACCACAGACUGGCAUUUAAAUAAUAGAAAUUUAUUCCCCGUAGUUCUUGAUGUCAUACUCUGGAAUCAGGCUGCCAGCAUGGUUGGUUCUAAUGUGAGCCCUCUCCUGGUUUGCAGGUGGCUAUUUCCUCAAUCCUCAAAUGGCAGAGAGCACAGAGGAAGCAAACUCUCUCCUGAUUCUUAUAAGGGCACUAGUCCCGCCCCUUACGACCUGGUCUAAUCCUAAUCACCUCCCAAAGGCCCUACUUCCCAAAACCAUCACAUUUAGAGUAUCAACAUACGAGUCUGGGGGAGACACAAACAGGGUCCACAACUUCUAUCCAUUCUCCAAAUGUACUCCUUUUUCUUUAAUAGUUUAAGUUUAAAUUUUUGUAUUUUUUAUUUCUGGAAUUUUAUUCUUAAAUAUGAUCUUUUUAUACUCUCUUGGGCUUUACUCACAUUUUUAGUUUCUUAUUUCUCUAAGAAUAUUGAACAUGU